AGUGAACGCUGGCGGUAGGCCUAACACAUGCAAGUCGAACGGCAGCACAGUAAGAGCUUGCUCUUACGGGUGGCGAGUGGCGGACGGGUGAGGAAUACAUCGGAAUCUACUUUUUCGUGGGGGAUAACGUAGGGAAACUUACGCUAAUACCGCAUACGACCUACGGGUGAAAGCAGGGGAUCUUCGGACCUUGCGCGAUUGAAUGAGCCGAUGUCGGAUUAGCUAGUUGGCGGGGUAAAGGCCCACCAAGGCGACGAUCCGUAGCUGGUCUGAGAGGAUGAUCAGCCACACUGGAACUGAGACACGGUCCAGACUCCUACGGGAGGCAGCAGUGGGGAAUAUUGGACAAUGGGCGCAAGCCUGAUCCGGCCAUACCGCGUGGGUGAAGAAGGCCUUCGGGUUGUAAAGCCCUUCUGUUGGGAAAGAAAAGCAGCAGGUUAAUACCCCGCUGUUCUGACGGUACCCAAAGAAUAAGCACCGGCUAACUUCGUG
rnacentral:rRNA from 1 species